GAUGAAGAACGCAGCGAAAUGCGAUACGUAAUGUGAAUUGCAGAAUUCAGUGAAUCAUCGAAUCUUUGAACGCAUAUUGCGCUCUCUGGUAUUCCGUAGAGCAUGCUUGUUUGAGUAUCAGUAAACACCUCAACUCCCUUUUCUUUUUUGAAAUUGGAGCUGGACUUGAGUGAUCCCAACGCUUUCUUCCAAGAAAGUGGCGGGUUGCUUGAAAUGCAGGUGCAGCUGAACUUUUCUCUGAGCUAUAAGCAUAUCUAUUUAGUCUGCCUAAAAAACAGAUUAUUACCUUUGCUGCAGCUAACAUAAAGGAGACUAGUUCUUGUGCUGACUGAUGCAGGAUUCACAGAGACAGCUUCGGCUGACUUUGUAAACUCGAUCUCAAAUCAAGUAAGACUACCCGCUGAACUUAAGCAUAUCAAUAAGCGGAGGA
rnacentral:misc_RNA from 1 species